ACCCGGGCAGAAGACGCAGGCUCUGGGGAGGUGGAACGUCACCUCUUUGUGAGGGAAGGAGCCAAAACUUGCGCGGGAGGUUGAGCGCUACCAGUUAGAUCUGGUGGGGCUUACGUCUACGCACAUUCUCGGUUCUGGAACCGUACUCCUGGAUAGGGGUUGGACUCU